ACCUAACAUUUAAGGAAUACAAUGUUUCAAGUGUUUGUGAUACAGUUUCACUUGAAGUUGACACACGCUCAAAAUAUAUAUUUUAUACAAAGAAAACAAUUUAUGAUUGCAGCUAUAAACCGUUUGUUGGCCAAUAGCGGACAGAUGGGAAAGAUAUACACGCCUUCGGGUCACCGGUCACCAGAAACUCAACGGAGGACGUCGCCUUUCGAAUAGUUUUAGAAAUUACAACUUACGAUCUCCCGGAUAUCGUGUUUCCGCACAGAAAAAUGUCCAUCACCGAGGGUACAAUUGCUUCCGCGGUUAUAGGUGUGGUAGGGUUUAUCAUCAUCAUCAGUGUGACGGCAUUCAUUGUGGCACUGGCCAGAACGAAUAAAGACUUAAAGCAGCCCCGAAAUGAAGAGCGAAAUGAUCCUGGAUUGGACUCUGGGGCUUCGGGAGAUAUGAUGUUAUAACACAUUGAUUGGCAAAGAAAGAGAGUCACAAAGCUUCCUUGGGAGUGGUUGGCUGACCAGCACGUACAGUAUUAAUCGGGGACUUACCCAAAAAGAUGGACCUAAAGAAGUUGUGACCGGAAUUAGUCGCCGUGAAAGUCUGAUCACCCAUACACAUGGUGUCUCCUUACUUCUGGGCCUGCCGAAUCCCUUGGGUGCCCUGUCUCUAGGGUGAUAAAAAUGCCGGUUAAUACCCUCUGGCGAUAGUCCUAUGAUCCAGAGCAAGUACCUAGGUGGACAGCAACGUCACCAAUACCUGUUCAUUGGGUUGGCAAAAGAAAUGCUGAAGUAACGGAUCACAGACAUGCUACUUCCAUGCCAAGUACGCGGAAGUGCGCUUGGGCGUUUACUUCCUUGUAGGGCACGAUUCCAGAACACAAACACCUGAUUCGGCUCUUUUGGGUCGUAUCUUUCAGGGAAUUAAACAGGGAAGUGUGAUACACGCACUAUCUUUGAUGAACACCUUUUGCACCUGUGCCUAAUUACGACGCAAUCACAAUGCAGCCUUACGUUGGUGACCGUUGCAUCGACAGGACCGGCGGGAAGAUCACUUGUAAUAUAUACAGUUGGUCAGUGCAAUGAUGUAUUCUCUCUAGUCUUGGCGGAGCUAGUGCCGAUUUCUCACAUACAAUUGAUGUUUUAACCUUUUGCACUAUCACGAGAAUUGACUUAAAUUCAGCCCAUUGUAUUUCCACACGGUUUCUCUAUAUGUAAUGUACAAGCAAAUUGUUAAAAACUUGUUUCUGGGACUAUGUACGCAUGUUCAAGAACACCCUUGUCUUACUGGAUUACUCUGGCCAUCUCCAUCAGACACGUUUGUGAAAAUUGCGUAAAACUAUCAUCAUUCAGGAAAUACCAUCUGUUAAAAACCACCGGUAAUUCAUAUGUCUGAAGACAUAUUCCAUGAACCAGGUGCUUUCGUGUUUCUCUAGUUUCUCCUCGGCUAGAAGUAGCCAAAACUACAGAUGAUGUUUCAGAUUAAUCAGCAUUUAGUACUAAUGAACAGAAGUGUAUGCCCCCAGAGCCCCUGACUUGUCAGUCAUGUGGCCCAUUCAAUACUUUACAUUACUGUAGUUAAAAGAUAAACUCAUUAUGACAAUUAUGUUAUCAUCAGAAAAAUUUAACAACAAAAAUAUAUAAAUGUAAGACAAGCGGAGACCUUGGCAUUCCCGGAAUUUCUCAGUAAUCGUAUGAGGAGUUGUAUCAAAGUAUUAGAGGGUAUAAAUGUAAUUGCACAAAGCCACGUUAUACUGAUAUCUUCGCUUCGGCGUUGAGACUUGUUAAGUUGGUUAAGGCCACUACAUGUUCUAAGCUGCGAGGAAGUGAUAAAAACCAUAGUCUAUGUGAUGGGUUUAGGCAGAAAGAGCUGGAGUUCGGUUAUCCAAUCGCUGAAGGUAUGUGACCAUCAGUGCACGCACCGACACAACUGACUGGAACGGGGCUGAAAACUGCUAUAAUACUUUUGCUUAUUCUUGAAGAAAUCAAAGCAAACAAAAACAGUUAUAAUGCUGUUUGUGCAUAUUUGUAAAUUUUUUUGUACAUUUCAGCGCCACAUAAUCCUUGGCUCCAAGAGUUGUAGCAAAGUUUUACCUUUGUUCUUUUUUAAAAUGUCAAAAUAAUACGAAACGGACGGAUGCAAUACUGUUGUAAUGUGAGUCAGACAUCAAUUGUACAUAAUGUAAAUAUUGUUUAUUGCACUGUUGAAGUUUUUACCUUUUCCAAUUUCAAAUAUGCAUGACUCUUAAACUUUAAUAUUUACAUAUUUAAUAUUUACUGUAUGCAAAUUGUUACUUUCAUCGUUCCCAUAUGAACAGUGAAUGGUUUCUAUAAUGUUUCUAUGUAACCCUGUGUUUCGGGUUGACUGGCUCGUUGGGUGAUACAUCAUGUUCUUCAUUCCACCCUUGAUUUGUAUUCUUUCUCUGUUAAUUCAUGCACACAGACAGCUGUAGUUUGGA